rnacentral:lncRNA from 1 species
AAGCCAGGGCUCAAACAUCCCCAAAGGGCGUCCGGGCUGAUGACGAUAGCUCCCAAUCGCCCUCCAGACGCACACUGGCAGGAACAACCGGAGGGACUUCCCUGACCGACCCCGCGUUUGCUCAGCUUUGAAUUCCCGCUCUGUAGAUCUGUCGCAAUUUAACCAGAAGUCACCCUGUGCAUGGAGCUGUUUGAGAAAGAUCAGAGGAUGUGCCCUUGUUGGAGGAAAUGUGUCCCUGGGGGAAGGUCUUGAAACUUCAAAUGCCCACUCACUCCAUUCUCAGCACCUCUCUUCCUCAUGUCUAUGAAUCAGGAUGGGAAGUUCUCAGCUACUGCUCUAGCACCAUACCUGCCUGCCAGAUGCCAUGCUCCCUGCCAUGAUGGUCAUGAACUCACCCUUUAAAACUAUAAGCCCUCAAUAAAGUCUUUCUUCU